AAGAGGCAUUUGCAGCAGCUGGAGUUCAAGUAGAUUAUUUUAGUAACGUAAACGUAUCUUUUCAAUAAUAUGUUUGCUUGCAGCUCGCAAUUUCUUCUCUGUAAAAAUUCUGUAGAAGGCUGAACAUAUGCACUUCUGAAGAUCUCAGCAAACCUGUGUACUCAUCCUGCUCAGCUCAAUGGCUAUAAUGCUGCUUUCUUGUUUCAUGCUUGUUAAUUCUGCUGAAUGUAAAAAUUAUGUAGAAGGCUGAACAUUGCAAUAUGCACUUUUGAAGAUCUCAGCAAACGAGUGGACUCAUCCUGCUCAGUCGAUGGCUAUAACGUUGCCUUAAUUUGUUUCAUGCUCGUUAAUUCUGCUAAAUGUGAACUCGUCCUGUUCGGCUCAAUGGCUACAAUGUUGCUGAAUGAUGACUUAUUCUGGAAACUGAUUGUUAAUUGCACGAUUUAGUAUUUGAAAUAAAUAUUCAU